rnacentral:ncRNA from 1 species
GAUGGGAAAAGAUAUUUCAUGUAAUAAGAAAGCUAGCGUAUAGAGGCAGGAGGAUCACUUGAGGCCAGGAGUUUGAGACCAGCCCGGACAACAUAAGGAGACCCUGUCUCUAAAAAAAAAAAAAAAAAAAAAAGCCAGAUGCCUGGCUCACGCCUGUAAUCCCAGCACUUUAGGAGGCCUAGGUGAGGGGAUUGCUUGGGAAUCCGACUGUUGAAUUAAAACAAAACACGGCUUAGGCUGCUGUGGGUAUUGACGUCUUGUGAUUUCUGUGCAGGGCACUGAAUGUCAAAGUGAAGGAAUUCAGUGAAGCCCGGAUCAAGGGCAGGAGCAACCGUGACCCUCUUAAAAGAGCCAAUGCCCCAUGUAAUUAGUGACGCGCGCGAAUGGAUAGACGGUAUUCCCACCGUCCCUACAUAGCAUCCAGCGACACCACAGCCAAGGGACAGGCUUGGCGGAACCUGCGGGAGAGAAGAACCCUCUGAGCCUGAUUGAAAGGUGGUGAAGAGACAGGGGAGGGGGAUCAGUGGGUGGUCCCGCCUCCAUCUUCAGUUCCCGCAUUGGGGCGAGGCAGGUACAUGGGCCUUGCUGGCUGUGGGUGAAAUUCCAUUAUUGAUUGUUUUUUCACUAACUUGGUGGGGGAGUCGGGCGCGAGUUUCGAGAGAGGCUCUGGCUUCUGGCGCCAAGCCUUAGCCAAGCUCAACAGGUGCAGCGCUAGAUGGGGAGACUGGGACACACGUCUGAACGCAGAUGUCCUAAGGGAGCGCAGGAAGACAGAAGCCUCCCCUGGGGCAGGAGGGCAAAGGCUCCUGGGUCUUGCAUUUGCAGCAGGAGUUCAGACGGUGAAAGCAGGGCUUCAGGAUCCUUCUGACCUUUUGAGUUUUAAACAAGCGGUGUCAGAAAAGUCGUCACAGGGAUAACUGAUUUGCAGCAGGAAAGCAUUCAUAGGAAUGAGGCUUCUUUUUGUUUUUUGUCUUUGUUUUUGUGUGUGUGUGUGUGUGUGUGUUUUUUUUUUUGUCAGGGUCUCAUGCUGUGGCACAGGCUGGAGUGCAGUGGUGCCACCAUAGCUCACUGCGCUAUGAGAGCUAUGUGAUCGGCGCUCAAGUGAUACUCUGGCCUCAGCCUCCAAAAUAAAUGGGACCGCAGGCCUGAGCCACCAUGUCCUGUGGCUUUUUAAUCCUUUUGAUCCUUGGAUGUGGGCUCUUCCUAUCAUUGGAAGACAGAAUUCACCAAGGUUGGGUUGUUCACCCACUCAGAAAACCUGAGCUGGGGCUGGGGCUAGGGCUGGGGCUCACGCCUAUAAUCCCAGCACUUUGGUAGGCCAAGGCGGGUGAAUCACCUGAGGUCGGAAGUUCGAGGCCAGCCUGGCCAACAUGGUGAAACCCCCGUCUCUACUGAAAAUACGAAAAUUAGCCGGGCGUGGUGGCGCAUGCCUGUAAUCCCAGCUACUCGGGAGGCUGAGGCAGGAGAAUCACUUGAACCCGGGAGGCAGAGGUUGCAGUGAGCUGAGAUGGUGUCACUGCACUCCAGCCUGGGCAACAAGAGCGAAACUUCGUCUAAAAAAAAAAAAGAAAGAAAGAAAAGAGAAAAGAAAAGGAAAGAAAAGAAAGCCGGAGCUGGCAUUAGACCAUGUGAGACAGGUUGAUUUCACUCUAGUGAGCAUGCGUGGUUGCCUUGGUGAUCCUGCCCAGUACCACAGGUCCCCAGGUUCAGACGUUUGGUGCCUGUGCUUGGAUGAGAGACCACUGGGCUAAGCUGCCAUCCGUGGGAUGCUGACUAAAGGCCUCUAAGUCAGAAUAUGCCCAGGCAGAACUAUAGGGCAGCGCCAUGAAGCCUCGGGGGGCCUCGGAUAGCCUUCCUCGCCAACAGGACUCAGUGCAGCAGGGUUGAGGCCCCAUGCGGAGAGCUCAUUGUCUUGGGAAACCGGCAGUGGGAAGGGUGGCCGGCCCCUCGCCCUUCACGCAAGGCCCAUUCGUGGGGAACCUGGCGCUAAACCAUCCUUAGAGGAGCUGCUUCUGGGUCCCAGUUUUCUCUGCAGCAGAGUAGCUCCCUGGAUGGGAUCUAUUGAAAGUUAGCCCUCCACACAGGCGUGU